GCCCUCUCCACCCUGAGUGCCAGGCAGAUGUCACCAGUUGAUCUCAGCACUCCUGACCUCUGGAUAAAGCCAUAGAUUCCUGGGCAACAUAGUUCCCGCUCAGCAGAAUGUCCCACUAGUCAGCAUUGGCACCUGGUCGGGAGUGACUAGUGUUUCCCAAGCCCGACUCCUUUCUUUGGAAGAGGGGACACUGAGACCUGCAGCCUGUAACUUACCAGGAUCUGUAAGCUCCCCAGACCCACCGCCUCAGAGCAGAAGGAGACAGGGACCACAGGAGUACUUGCAGCUGGAGUGGCAGCAGGAAGCCACAGGUGGUGCUACGGUUUGUGCCUGACCAUGCCCAGCUUGGCAGCCUACAGCAUUUCCUCCCCUGUGUCAGCAUGGCAAAGGCUCACACAAUCACAAGCACCUUCUGCUUGGACUUUGCCAACCGGAACCAGAUGUCCGACGAGCCAUGUCUACCCUGUGGUCUGCACACAUGCUGGGAUAGCUGUGCAUGCAUGUAGCCCAACACAAACGUUUGAACUUCCUCAAACUAUUAUGAGGCUUGUUUUGCACGUGAUUUUGAUGUUGUUACUUGACUGUAUGGUUCUUGAAUGUGAACUGGGAAGUGACAUCAUGCUUUAGGGUUGAA